UCGCAGAACCAUUUUAAAAACGGUUGCACCGCAGGUUUCUGGCAGAUUUUAUCCAACAGUUCUGGCGUGACAACGUUCGAAAGUUCGGAACAGCUUUCAGCAUCAUUCAGCAGCAUGUGUUAAAAGUAAGGAAAAAAUGACAGGGACAACGACAAACAUCUCUCAUGCCGAAGUUACGAUUUAGCAAUUGUGUGCAAGCGAUACAUGUAAUGUCAUAUUUACUUAAAAUGAUUAAAUAAAUGGUUAUAUUUAAAUCUUUCACAA